ensembl:lincRNA
CUACCCUUAUCUCUUACUCAUGUUUAUUGUCGGGCAAAUGCCCCACAACCUAAAAAAGACAUGGCUACCAAAGGGGGACAAGCAAUUAUGUUAUGGAUUAGACAUGGGACCAAAUGGACUUCUUUAGCUAGUGUGCUCACAAAGGGCAGACAUAGGAGAGGCUCAAGAAAAAAUAAAGCAUUAUACUUACAAGACCUAAAGACAGAAACCACGCCAGCCAUACAGGGAAAGACACUAGGAUGGUUAUUAGGCAGCAGACCACCGUGAGGGAAAGGUUUGGAACACAGCCUCCAUUGCCUUCUGUUAAGUGAGCCGGAUUCAGACACCAGGAACCCUCCGGUCCCACUGGCCAGGUGCUCGGGACUGGGUAAUUUCCUCCGCUCAAGGCUAGGAACAUACCUGCGCUUGGAACUGAGGCUGCCGCACCUCCGCAGACUUAGAAGACGAAUUCUUGGAGCCCAGGGUCUGCCGGGGUUGGGUUCCUGCCGCCGCGCGCGCUACCCGCCCGAAACCCGCUACAAAGUAGCGGCGCGUCUGCCCUGGGGAGGCAAAGCGCAAACUUGUUACCGCGCCGGGACCUGCCCCGGGAUCCUCCCAGCUGCUCCGCAGGACGCAGCGCCUGUGCAUCCCGCGGCCCUGGGACUGGCGCGGCCUUCCGCCCCCUGGGCCGCCGAGGGCUGCUCUACCCCUCCGUUCUGGCCGUGGGGAGCAGAGGAGCUCGGGGCGGGCAAAGCUCGAGGGGACACUGGGAGAGCCCAGACCCUGCCUGGGAGCACUCCCAGCCAGAGUCCAAAGGGCAGAGACGCACUCACAGCGCAACUCCUCGGGACAAACUGGCCGACGAUCCCCACCUGGCCAGAAGACCAAGAAGGCGCGCGGCGGGAACUGACCGGAGCGGGGACGCACGAGGGCCGGGAAGUUCCCGGGCUGGGGCGGGGCGGGGCGGGGCACCGCAGGGCAGAUUGCCGGAUUCAGGCACCAGGAACCCACUCGUCCAACAGGCCAGAUCCAAGGCCCGACACUGCUGUAACCAUCAGCACAAGCUUGAAGAUGAUGCUGACACAGAGGACAGCAAAGCCAGUCAAGUCACAAGCACAUGGAGUCACAGGCACUGGAUUUAAUACUUUUGAAGCAGGUUCUACUUCAGGGCUUUCACUGAGGUGAAUCGAUCAAUUUCCAGAAGCUACAGAACAGGGUUUCCUGGUUUUGGUCCCUGGGAUAAUAUGCAACAGAACUACCCUGAAGAAUUGCUAAGAAUUCAGAUUCCUGGGCCCAGUCUGAAACCUACUGAAUCAGCAUCAAGAUCUCCAGGUUGGGGCACAGUGGGAUGUGCCUAUAGUCCAAGAUACUUGGAAGGCUGAGUGAGGAAGAUCUCUUAAGCUCAGGAGUUCAAGUCCAGCCUGGGUAAUAUAAUGAGACCCUGUCCUUAAAAAAACCAAAAACCAAAAAAAAGUCCCUAGGUUACUUUUAUGUAAGCUGUAAUUCACUUUAUAUAUUGUCUACCUAGGCCACAAUGCCAACAAUGUAAGUUUUUUUUAAAUAAAAGUCACUUACAACAUUUAAAAAAUAAAGUAUCAUUCACCUUG